rnacentral:rRNA from 1 species
GACGAACGCUGGCGGCGUGCCUAAUACAUGCAAGUUGAGCGCUGAAGGUUGGUACUUGUACCAACUGGAUGAGCAGCGAACGGGUGAGUAACGCGUGGGGAAUCUGCCUUUGAGCGGGGGACAACAUUUGGAAACGAAUGCUAAUACCGCAUAAAAACUUUAAACACAAGUUUUAAGUUUGAAAGAUGCAAUUGCAUCACUCAAAGAUGAUCCCGCGUUGUAUUAGCUAGUUGGUGAGGUAAAGGCUCACCAAGGCGAUGAUACAUAGCCGACCUGAGAGGGGGAUCGGCCACAUUGGGACUGAGACACGGCCCAAACUCCUACGGGAGGCAGCAGUAGGGAAUCUUCGGCAAUGGACGAAAGUCCGACCGAGCAACGCCGCGUGAGUGAAGAAGGUUUUCGGAUCGUAAAACUCGGUUGGUAGAGAAGAACGUUGGUGAGAGUGGAAAGCUCAUCAAGUGACGGUAACUACCCAGAAAGGGACGGCUAACUACGUG